CAGUAGCCGCGGUAAUACGUAGGGUGCAAGCGUUAAUCGGAAUUACUGGGCGUAAAGCGUGCGCAGGCGGUGUUGUAAGACUGAUGUGAAAUCCCCGGGCUCAACCUGGGAACUGCAUUGGUGACUGCAACGCUGGAGUGCGGCAGAGGGGGAUGGAAUUCCGCGUGUAGCAGUGAAAUGCGUAGAUAUGCGGAGGAACACCGAUGGCGAAGGCAAUCCCCUGGGCCUGCACUGACGCUCAUGCACGAAAGCGUGGGGAGCAAACAGGAUUAGAUACCCGGGUAGUCCCUGUCUCUUAUAC
rnacentral:rRNA from 1 species